UUUCGAAGCAGUAAUCUCCUCCAAAUCAUUACCAGUGAGAAUAAUGUCAUUAACAUAGACAGCCAACAAGACAAUAGAAGAGCUAGAUUUCUUAAAGAAAAGAGAAUAGUCAUUGAGAGAAGAAGAAAAACCCUUAGAACAUAAGUCGUGGGACAGCUUGGCAUACCAUUGCCUAGAAGCUUGCCUUAAACCAUACAAAGAUUUCUGAAGUAGACAGAUCAAAGGAGAAGAAGAGGUAUCACAGGUAAUUUCCAGACCAGGAGGCAAUUUCAUAUAAACUUCCUCAGCUAAGUCACCAUGUAGAAAGGCAUUAUUGACAUCAAGUUUAAAAAGGGACCAAUGCUGCUUGACAACCACAACAAUGAGGGAUUUAAUAGUUGAAAACUUAACAACAGGAGAUAAGGUCUCAGUAAAGUCUACACCCUUAACCUGGGUGUCACCCCUAACAACCAGCCUAGCCUUAUGCCUCUCCACAGACCCAUCAGCCAUAUAUUUUAUCUUAUAAACCCAUUUGCAACCAAUAUGUCUCUUGCCAGGGGGAAGGGGAACUAGUGACCAGGUAUGAUUGGCCUCCAAAGCUGCAAAUUCCUUGGUCAUUGCCUCCCGCCAUGUAGGAAUAGAGGCAGCCUGCUUAUAAGAGGUAGGCUCAGCCUCUGUAAUGCUAACUAAACUGUGAAGACAAGUGGAAGAAGAACUGGGGCCAGAGAUAGAUGGAGGUAGAUUGCAGACAUACUGCUGCAAGUGAGCAGGAAGGGCAUGUGCCCUAGUGGAUCUUCUGGGAACAGAGGAGUCAGGCACAAGGUAGAUUGCAGACAUACUUCUGCAGGUGAGCAGGAAGGACAUGUCCCUAGUGGACCUUCUGGGAGCUGAAGAUGCAGGCACUGAUAGAUUCUGUGAUGGGGAGGAAGAAGGAGAAGGAGAGGCAAGAGGUUGCUGGGUGGUAGAUGAGGAAGGAUUGUGUAGAAAUUCAUCAACAGGAGGAAACCAGGCAGAAGACGGAUUAAGAGGAGGAAAGGAACCAUGGGAAGAGUUCCCUGGAGAAGCAAAAGGAAAGACAUCCUCAUGAAAAAUUACAUCCCUGGAGAUCAGAGUAAGUUUAGACUUCAAGUUAUACAGCUUGUAACCCUUUUUACCCAAUGGAUAUCCCAGAAAAACAUAGGGAUCAGCUCUGGGUUGAAAUUUAUCUCUAUUCUGUUUAGGGACUGAGGCAAAACAGAGGCAACCAAAUGUUUUUAGAAAAACACAGGGACCAGCUCUGGGUUGAAAUUUAUCUCUAUUCUGUUUAGGGACUAAGGAAAAACAGAGGAAACCAAAAGUUUUAAGAUGGUUAUAGGAUGGAAUCUGUCCAAACAGUAACUCAAAAGGAGGAUUUAUUGUGAAGAAGUUUGGAAGGAAACCUGUUAAUGAGGUAGGUUGCAGUAAGCACACAAUCACCCCAGAAUCUAAUGGGUAGCUGUGAAUGGAAAAGUAGAGCCCUUGAGGUUUCUAGCAGGUAUCUAUGCUUUCUCUCAACUACACCAUUUUGUUGUGGUGUGUGAGAGCAAGAAGUUUGAUACAUUAUGCCAUGUUCAGCAAAGAAGUUGCUGCCACAGCUACUAGAACCAAGUUCAAAUGCAUUAUCACACCUGAUGGUUUGUACCACAGACUGGAAUUGAGUCUUA
rnacentral:lncRNA from 1 species